rnacentral:rRNA from 1 species
AGAGUUUGAUCCUGGCUCAGAACGAACGCUGGCGGCGUGGAUAAGACAUGCAAGUCGGACGAGAUUUUCCGUUGUAGCAAUACGAUGGAAAGUUUAGUGGCGAACGGGUGCUUAACACGUGGGCAACCUGCCGUGAAGUGGGGGAUAGCUCGCCGAAAGGCGAAUUAAUACCGCAUGUGAUUAGAGAGGACAUCCUUUCGAAAUUAAAGUCGGGGCAACCUGACGCUUCCUGUGGGGCCCGCGGCCUAUCAGCUAGUUGGUGAGGUAACGGCUCACCAAGGCUUUGACGGGUAGCUGGUCUGAGAGGACGACCAGCCACACUGGGACUGAGACACGGCCCAGACACCUACGGGUGGCAGCAGUCGAGAAUUUUUGACAAUGGGGGGAACCCUGAUCGAGCGACGCCGCGUGGAGGAUGAAGGUCUUCGGAUUGUAAACUCCUGUCAUUGGGGAACAAGGUGCAUACGUUAACUGCGUGUGCAUUGAUAGUACCCGAAGAGGAAGAGACGGCUAACUCUGUGCCAGCAGCCGCGGUA